rnacentral:lncRNA from 1 species
UGUGCGGUGACUGCCAAGUGGACUGGACUGCAGCUGCUGAGGAGUUGUGGCCUUGUUGGGAGAAGUUGUGUCACUGUGGGUGUGGACUUAAGACCCUUACCCCAGCUGCCUGGAAGUCAGUCUUCCACUAGCAGCCUUCAGAUGAAGAUGUAGAACUCUCAGCUCUGCCUGCACCAUGCCUGCCUGGAUGCUGCCAUGUCCACCUUGAAGAUAAUGGACUGAACUUCUGAACCUGUAAACCAGACCCAAUUAAAUAUUGUCUAUGAAUUGCCUUGGUCAUGGUGUCUGUUCACAGCAGUAAAACUCUAACUAAGACACCCUCUCAACUCAAGAGGAAUGUCAGAGUUAUAGGAAGGCCUGCUUCAUCUUGUCUCUGGGCCCACCUCAUCCCACUUCCACCCCCUACUCCUCCCCACCCCUUACCACCACCACUGCCCAGUCAUCUAGAUCUUCUCUUUACCAGCCAGUUGUUCCUUUAGCUGGUCAUGAAUGUCUCAGGAUGCUGACACUGUAAAACCAGGGGGACCUGGCACAUGAGUAAGCUGCAUGUUAUGUGUCUAUAACAGGGUCUGAAUACACAUUGUUCAUUUGAUAGGGAUUUCUCCCCAGCCUUAGGUAGCCAGCUUUCUGAGAAUGUUGGCUAGCAGCCACAGUCAGCUCGGAUUCAAGUUAACAAGAACUUACUCAUCAGGUGCCUGGCAGUGGUUCCCACAGCUGCCUGAGGGCUGAGCAUUCCUGUAGAGCCCUCAGGGCUGCUGAAUGUAGAUUUAAAGAGGCAGAGACGAUAAAUGAGAAACAUCUGUGAUGAAGGGAUCCAGAUGAUCGGAAACUGGGCACCUUCGGGAGCAGAGAGUUUGGGAGCAUCUGGAGGGAGAGGAGAUGGAAGUCUGUGUUUGCUCCGAGCCCCUCAUUUCCCAUCAUCCAAAGGGGAGGACGUUAGGGCUGGUUGGCAGCAUAGAACUAUAAUUCCAGCUGCUCCUGGGGCAAAAGAAUGGGAGAGUUCAAGGCCUGCCUGUGCAGUUCAUUGAGACCCUGUCCCCAGAAGGAGAAAGGGCCCCAUGUUUCACAUGAAUGAGGCUUUGGUU